GAUGAACGCUGGCGGCGUGCCUAAUACAUGCAAGUCGAGCGAACGGACGAGAAGCUUGCUUCUCUGAUGUUAGCGGCGGACGGGUGAGUAACACGUGGAUAACCUACCUAUAAGACUGGGAUAACUUCGGGAAACCGGAGCUAAUACCGGAUAAUAUUUUGAACCGCAUGGUUCAAAAGUGAAAGACGGUCUUGCUGUCACUUAUAGAUGGAUCCGCGCUGCAUUAGCUAGUUGGUAAGGUAACGGCUUACCAAGGCAACGAUGCAUAGCCGACCUGAGAGGGUGAUCGGCCACACUGGAACUGAGACACGGUCCAGACUCCUACGGGAGGCAGCAGUAGGGAAUCUUCCGCAAUGGGCGAAAGCCUGACGGAGCAACGCCGCGUGAGUGAUGAAGGUCUUCGGAUCGUAAAACUCUGUUAUUAGGGAAGAACAUAUGUGUAAGUAACUGUGCACAUCUUGACGGUACCUAAUCAGAAAGCCACGGCUAACUACGUGCCAGCAGCCGCGGUAAUACGUAGGUGGCAAGCGUUAUCCGGAAUUAUUGGGCGUAAAGCGCGCGUAGGCGGUUUUUUAAGUCUGAUGUGAAAGCCCACGGCUCAACCGUGGAGGGUCAUUGGAAACUGGAAAACUUGAGUGCAGAAGAGGAAAGUGGAAUUCCAUGUGUAGCGGUGAAAUGCGCAGAGAUAUGGAGGAACACCAGUGGCGAAGGCGACUUUCUGGUCUGUAACUGACGCUGAUGUGCGAAAGCGUGGGGAUCAAACAGGAUUAGAUACCCUGGUAGUCCACGCCGUAAACGAUGAGUGCUAAGUGUUAGGGGGUUUCCGCCCCUUAGUGCUGCAGCUAACGCAUUAAGCACUCCGCCUGGGGAGUACGACCGCAAGGUUGAAACUCGAAGGAAUUGACGGGGACCCGCACAAGCGGUGGAGCAUGUGGUUUAAUUCGAAGCAACGCGAAGAACCUUACCAAAUCUUGACAUCCUUUGACAACUCUAGAGAUAGAGCCUUCCCCUUCGGGGGACAAAGUGACAGGUGGUGCAUGGUUGUCGUCAGCUCGUGUCGUGAGAUGUUGGGUUAAGUCCCGCAACGAGCGCAACCCUUAAGCUUAGUUGCCAUCAUUAAGUUGGGCACUCUAAGUUGACUGCCGGUGACAAACCGGAGGAAGGUGGGGACGACGUCAAAUCAUCAUGCCCCUUAUGAUUUGGGCUACACACGUGCUACAAUGGACAAUACAAAGGGCAGCGAAACCGCGAGGUCAAGCAAAUCCCAUAAAGUUGUUCUCAGUUCGGAUUGUAGUCUGCAACUCGACUACAUGAAGCUGGAAUCGCUAGUAAUCGUAGAUCAGCAUGCUACGGUGAAUACGUUCCCGGGUCU
rnacentral:rRNA from 1 species